rnacentral:lncRNA from 1 species
GCUCCCUCAGGAACCAGGCCAGCCCCCCAGCCAGCAGAGAUGAGCCUGCCAAGGGAAUGUGCUGACUGCGCAGGAACACUGGAGAAGCCACCCCCUCGCUCUGAGGACCGGCACUUUCUGGGGGGCCAGGACUCCUGGAGCCUCUAAUAGGAUGGCUUUAACAUUUUUCUUUUAGAAAGAAAUCUCCUCUUGUCCUAUCUUCCCUGGAGAUGGAAGAAAUCCUGGAAUCCUAGAAUCCUCCCAGUCCUCACUCCCUCUCAACAUUCAGUUCAGUCCAGUUCUAGCCAAUGAACAUUUAUGAAGCAUCUACCAAGUACAAUCUACAAAGACGAAAACCACUUGGAUUCCAGCUCCUUAGCAAGAGAUGUGAGGGUGACCAGGAGAUUCCAUGAGAUGAGGACAUCUACCCUCAAGAAAGUAGUUUUGGGCACCUAUGGUUUUGUAAGACCCUCUCUCUCUCUUUUUUUUUCUUUGUCCAGACCUUCAACUUCAUCAUGGUAAGGAACUCCUCAGGCAGACACUUCCUUCACUGAUGCUGAUCAGUCACUCAUAGUCUAAAGAGCUGACUAGGUUAGUUAUUGAGAGGUUAAGUGACUUGUCUAGGGUCACACUGCCAUCAUAAUCAGAUUUGAACUCAGCUCUUUCUGACUCCAAGGCUAGUGGUCCAUCUACAAUGCCACGUUGCUCCCUGCAAAGUACUCUGGACAGUAAAAAUGAGACAAGACAUACUGUCUAUGUGCUGAGAUAGGGCAUGUGUAUACACACAAAAAAAUAAAUAAAUAAACUCACAAUCUCUAACA